rnacentral:misc_RNA from 1 species
AAAGACUGCUGGUGUUUCGUGUUUUCUGAAUGUUUAGUCCUAUGGUUUCUGAGAUAUGGAGUUGCAUAAGAGGUUAGAUUAUGGAUUCAUUGGCUAUCAGGUGCCUCAUAUUCCCCGAGCUACGAGAUCAGCUAGGGGAAGGGGAAAUAUUAGGAAGAAAUCUGAUAGCAAUGAUAUGUGUGCUUUUGACUUGUUGACUACUGUAGCCGGGAAGUUACUCCUGGAAGGAGAAAGCACUUCAAAUUCUAGUGGGAAAGAUCAGUCUGCAGUUGUGAAAGAUACUAUUGAGACGGUUAAGGAGGAUGAAG